GCUCCCCCGAGCCGGAACGGGACAAGCCCGCCCGCCCCCGUCCCCCCAGCCCGGCUCGGGCCAUGUGGGCAGCGGGGGGCGCAGGGCGGAGCUGGUGAAGCGGUUUCCCUCAUAUCCAGGGGUCACAGUUCGGGGAGAAGCAGGGACAGCAGGCCAGGCCUGCCUCAGCACACAGGCUGUAGGAGCACCAGAGCCUUGCAUUAAACCAACCCCAACACCCGGGCAGCUGGAGGAAACCAAAGGGCAUCUGCUGAGUGCUGCAGUCAGAAAGUGAGACGUGGACGGUAUUGUUCAGCUUUUGUCUUUGGCUGGAAGGAGGAGCAUGUGCCGGUGCUGCCACAGGCAAAGCUGUCUAGGGGGCAUGGUUCAAGUGGAGAUGCAAAGGGCACAGAGUUGAGGAGGUUCUUCAACCCAAAAUCCUUUUGGAGCAGGCUGAAGAUGUAAUAAUCACCGAGCGAAGCAAAUACAGAUCCCACCCACUACGAAAUACAUGAUGCACCAAGGAAAGAAAAGUAACUGCCAGUACCUGGCUCGUUAAAAAGCCACCUAGUGGUGAAACUGUGGCAUUGAGACUUUGAUAAAGUCAGAAGAAUUGCAAGAUUUAUAGUUUUCUGCCUCAGCUGCCCCUCAUGACUGUGAUGCAAGAACCUUUCCCCUACCGGUCCCUCCCAGCAUCUGUCCAGCUGCAUGGAACCUUACAGAUCCUCCAUUCUCCUGUUAAGCCACAUAUACCCCAUGAGACAGAAACUGCUGCUGAAACAACGAGGAGUCCAUGUGGCACCUUAGAGACUAACAAAUGUAUUUGGGCAUAAGCUUUCGUGGGCAAAAACCCACUUCAUCAGAUGCAUGGAGUGGAAAAUACAGUAGGAAGAGAGAUAUAUAUAUAUACACACACAGAGAACAUGAAAAGAUGGGGGUUGCCAUACCAACUCUAAUGAAACAAAUCCGAUUAAGGUGGGCUAAGGCAAAAAAAAACUUUUGUAAUGAUAAUCAGGAUGGACCAUUUCAAACAGUUGACAAGAAGGUGUGAGUAACAGGGUGGGAAUUAGCAUGG